rnacentral:rRNA from 1 species
GGAAUUUUUCGCAAUGGGCGCAAGCCUGACGCAGCGACGCCGCGUGGGUGAUGAAGGUUUUCGGAUCGUAAAGCCCUUUUCUGCGUGACGAUGAUGACGGUAGCGCAGGAAGAAGUGUCGGCUAACUACGUGCCAGCAGCCGCGGUAAAACGUAGGACGCAAACGUUAUCCGGAAUUACUGGGCGUAAAGGGCGCGCAGGCGGUCCACUAAGUGAGGCAUGAAAGCUCCCUGGCUAAACCGGGAGAGGUUGUCUGAGACUGGUGGACUAGAGUAUGGUAGAGGGGUGUAGAAUUCCGCGUGUAGUGGUGAAAUGCGUAGAGAUGCGGAGGAAUACCAGUGGCGAAGGCGACACCCUGGACCAAGACUGACGCUGAGGCGCGAAAGCAUGGGUAGCGAAC